rnacentral:ncRNA from 2 species
ACCUUAUCAAGAGAGGUGGAGGGAGACGGCCCUGUGAAGCCCGGCAACCAGCGCCCAGGAGCGCCAGGUGCCAAUUCCGGCGACCAAGUCGCAAGAUAAGGG